UACAGAGGGUGCAAGCGUUAAUCGGAAUUACUGGGCGUAAAGCGUGCGCAGGCGGUUUUGUAAGACAGGCGUGAAAUCCCCGGGCUCAACCUGGGAACUGCAUUUGUGACUGCAAGGCUAGAGUACGGCAGAGGGGGAUGGAAUUCCGCGUGUAGCAGUGAAAUGCGUAGAUAUGCGGAGGAACACCAAUGGCGAAGGCAAUCCCCUGGGCCUGUACUGACGCUCAUGCACGAAAGCGUGGGGAGCAAACAGG
rnacentral:rRNA from 1 species